rnacentral:lncRNA from 1 species
AUUAUUUCUAGCUGUACAUGGCCAAGUGGUGGGAGAAAAUCAGACUCUGAAACAUUUUAAUGGUCUUUUAAGUUUAAGAUGAGAACAAGUUUCAAGGAACUCUGGGAUCCUCUUUUUCAUGUUCGGUGGUGAAGCAGAUGGCUUCAACCAAAGCGUAUGCGUUCUUAUAGGAAGUCUUUUGGAUGGUGCAUUCACUAGGAGGUGCUCUGGGUGUGCUCUUGUUUGGGAAAAACUGAAUCCUAGGUUCUAAACAAGAAGAGAAUGCACUUCCAAAAGGAUCUGCACACUUUCUGCUUUGCAGGGGAUCAGGUUUCAAUGUUAUGGUGAGACUUUCUUUAAGGAAAGUCCAAAUCAUUGCUACCUAUGUAGAUAGAGCCUGGCCAGGAAUGGGGCAACUCCCCAACUGUGGGUGUAUUUGUUCACUAUUGAGAAAAACAAAACUGGGUGUGAGCAUGGGAGUUGCACAGCAGUAGCUCAAACCUGGCCUCGCUUUGACAGACACCAAGCUCAGCAAUUGCAACUCCUAUUCUUCAUUUCCCAGGAUGGAGUGUUGCUCCUUGGGGAACUCUGUGUCCCUUUCUCCUCUCUUGUCUCCCAUUUCUCCCUCUGGCUAAGCCUUUCCCUUCCUCUUCGGGUCACCUGUAGACCCUUUCUAGCUUGAAUUAGGAAAGAGGAACAAGUGUGGGUAAUCCUAUAGCACAAAGAGCUGCCUCCCCCAGGACUGAGAAGACUAGCUGCCCCAGGGAAGGAUUCACAUGAAGCUUGGCCAGUGUCUUAACCCCAACUGCUCCAUGGCGCCCUCGAUCCAAACCUGUCUUCUCUCUGACAGUCAACAGAGAUCAUCUCUGGGACCAACUUCAUAAAGCCAAUUUAGACCAGUGCUGUCCAACAGAGAGAGAAUACAAACCACAAAUGCAAUUUUAAAUAUCCUUGUAGUCCCAUUUUUAGAAGUCCAAAGAAACAGGUAAAAUUAAUUUUAACACAUAUUUUAACCCAAUAUAAAAAUAUUAUUGUUUCAACAUGGCAUCAAUAUAAAAAAUUACUGAAAUAUUUUACGUUCUUUUUUCCCCAAUGAAGUCUUCAAGAUCCAAUGUGAAUUUUGUUCUUAGAAAACAUCUCAGUUUAGACCAGCCAUAUUUCCAUGGCUCAAUAACCACAUGUGGCUACUGGCUACCAUGUAGGACAGCAAAGAUUUAGAUUCUGUUAGAAGACAGAAUGGGAUCGCCCUCACCCAUGAGUCACUCAGAUCUCCCAGCUGACAGAGGCUGGAGGUUGGUGUUGGACCAGAGGAGAAAGCACAGGAGUGAUGUCCAGGCUGCCAUCCUGGCCUCUGGAAGUUCUGCUUCACCUGCUUAAUCAGAAGACAGGACCACUGCUUGUCAAAUACAUGUCACAUCUGCCCCAGAGGGUGUCAGCACUGCCCCUGGGAAUGGCACCAAUGACCUGUCGAAGUUCUAGAGGCCAAAGCAGGUCACUUUCUUUAGUUACAGGGGUGUCAACUUAUCCCUUAUCCAGAUGCCUUUUAUCUUACAGGGUGGGAGUGGGGGCAGACAGGCCUUCUUUUGGUCAAGAAUGAAGAUCUCUACAACCUUUUGUCAUCUGGUCCAGUCACCUAGUGGCAUCUCACCAAUAUUUGGAGCUGUUUUGUCAAUCCCUUAAUUUCUUUAAAUUUGUAUCUUAAAGUCAAAUGCUAAAAGGGAAUACACUGGGAAGAGCAGUGGCCACAGGCAGACUGGGCUCCGAGGAGGUGGUGGUGACAAGCCUGUCCCUUGCCCUGGGACUAGGUCCAUCAUUGCCUACCUCUCCUCCCCGUCCAGAGACCUUUCUUAGAGCUGAAGAAACCUCUUUUGUUCGGGAAAAAGACAAGCCGUGAGAUCUUAGUGCAGAGAACAGAAUAAAUGCAAGCAAGCAACCCUGGGCACUCUCAAAGUCUUUCAGAGAGCCAGUGUGACAAGGUUUGACUCAUUUAAAAUAUAACACUCUGAGCCCUGUGUUACUAAGCAAAAGAAAAUGAGCCAAUUUGGUGAGUAUGUCAUUACACAGGGACCAUAGCUGACAAAACUCUUCAACACCUGGAGUGUUUAUGGUCCACCAGAUUAUUGCUCAGUCAAUAUAAAUUUAUUUACCUUUACUUUAAUUUGCAUAGUGCUUUCUGAUUGGUUAGAUGAGGAGUGGUGUGUACUGCAGGAUUCCAACAUCGCCUCUGCCCUCGGAGGUAGCAAUUCCUGUGGUUAUUGGUGCUAAAAUAAGAUUAAAUAUUAUGUUAAUUUGUUCUGAUACGAUGUGAAUAAAUGUAUUGUUUAAUCUUAACAAGAAUGCUACAUCUUAUCAGAUCUAUUGUACUGUCUGUUUCUUCUCAUAAUUAAUUAAUUACAGGAAAGGUGAUCCAAACCAGAUCUUGAAACUAUUGUGCUAUUGAGAGGUGAAUUUAACAGGGAAGUGGGAGGGGGGAUGAAAAGGGAAAUUGCCAGGUUCCUGUGACUUUGCAAGGACUGAGGAAGCAGAGAGCAUUUGGGGACUUCACUGACACUGACUGCAUCUUGCAAUUUUCUUUUUCAAAUUGGCAGAAAUAUUGUAUUUCCAUCGAUUGAAGAAAAAAGUG